rnacentral:rRNA from 1 species
GUAUCCUGUUGUGAAUACAUAGCAGCAGGAGGCAAACCGGGGGAACUGAAACAUCUAAGUACCCCGAGGAAGAGAAAUCAACCGAGAUUCCGAAAGUAGCGGCGAGCGAAAUUGGAUUAGCCCUUAAGCUUUUAAUGAUGCAGGUGAAGAGUCUGGAAAGUCUCGCAAUAAAGGGUGAUAGCCCCGUAACCGACACAUCAUAAUCAGUGAAAACGAGUAGGG